GUGGUUAUCGUAGGUGAUUGAUUAUGGAAACGUUUCAACUUCAACCCAUAACAGGUGUGUACUAACCCUCGUAGUAGCUUAGAUUAAUAUCUGCUGAGAAGCCGAAAUGUUAAAAUAUCGGCAUUUCGAGAACUUGUAAUGUUGCGUGUGGGUAUAAAUGCGAUAAAUACGAUAAGAUGGGUUUUUGGAUCGAUGGAACGGGUAAGAACUCAAUUUUGUGCACGAUGGUAAGUUGGGCCUCAAUGGGCUGGAAUUGGGCCAAAUAUGCUUUUGGGCCCAUUUGGGUAAAAUUGAUAGAAAAUGGAAUUUGGAAAGGUUGUAUGUUAACACGGUUAGUAUUAUUGUAAAACUUCGGUUAAGCAGGCCUAGUGGGCUAAAUCAGCAUUCGUAAGGCCCAUUAGGGGUUUUGGGCCCAAAAGUCAAAUUUGAUAAGUGGGUGAAAGAUCAUUGUUUAAAAAAUUAUAAUGAACAUCAAAAAUCCUAAUUUUUGGUAAAAUUACGAAAAUACCCUUAUAAUAUGAAAAAUGACUGUUUUUCCCUUGUGGACAAGUGACUGACUUGGACUGUGUGGUUGACAGAUUUGAUUGUGAAUAUAUGUUGGUGAUAUAAAUGACUUGAUUGUGAUUGUUUAAUUCAAAUAUGGGCAUGACAUUCUGCAUACAUGACAUAUUGCAUGGGAUAUGGGUUAUAUUGAUGGAGGAAGUGCUAAAAGGGCUCUGCCCUAGCUUACCGAAAAGGGCUUUGCCCCAGUUUAUCAGAAAGGGUUUUGCCCCAGUUAUUAAAAGAGGCUAGGCCUCCAGUUAUAUGAUAAAGUAGCUAUGCUACCAGUGGAGAGUUUGGUUGGGUGGGUCGAGUAGUCUCCCCAAAUGGGCUUGCAUACAUUCAUUGACAUUACAUGUGAUAUUGAAAUGGGCUUGCAUACAUUCAUUGACAUUACAUGUGAUAUUGAAAUGGGCCUAAGGGCCAUACCAUUUACAGAAAAGUCUUCGGCCCAAUGAUAUGAUUUAUGAAAUGCUUCGGCCGAGUGAUAUGAUUUAUGAAAAAGCUUCGGCCCAGUAACCGUUAAAUGAAACACUUCAGCCCAGUAAAUGUCAAGACUAAAUAGGGCUUUGGCCCAGAUUGUACUGAUACCGUGUUAUUUACUGUUUGUUUGUUAUUGGGAUUACACACUGAGUUUUCGUAAACUCACCCCAUUUCUAACUAUGCAGGUAAUCCCUAAGCUUAGAUGGUUUGGAGCUGCAAGGGACUUGGAGAUGGCCACACUACUAUUUUUGUUUCUUUUAAUUGCAAUAAGUAGUCGAUUUAUUUCUUUAUAAGUUUUAUCUUAUUAAUAUUAUUAUUUGGUUUUGGGUUGUAAUAAGGCCAUUUUAAUUAUUUUUAUGGGAUUAUUUUAUCUUAUACCCUAUAUUUUUAUGAUAACAAUAUGAGUUAGACCUAGGGUGCAUUUCCAAAAUGAUAAUUGUUUUCAAAAUAACGCAACGAUACAAUUAAUCGGUUUAUCAAAAAUAUCUACUUAAAUGAAUUGCAACUCAUUUUUCUCAAAACCUAACCUAGCACCAAAGUGUGGCAAUGGUUGUGGGCAUGUCUAGGAUUGGAUCCAAUCAAGAGCUUGGUACUUAAGCAGCCUUCGAGGCUCACCUCCUCUGUUUCGGAUACCUACCUGGUGCACAACUUCCAUUCACUUUAUUAACUUAGUAAAGAUUAUCUUUUAAAACACUAAGAAGGACGUUGAAAGAGGCAUGAAUUUUCUUAAAAACUUCAAUAUGACAUGUCGGAUCCAGCCAAGUUACAGUUUACUCUUAACUAGAGAGUUUCAGUAUAGUGCUACUAUCUAUAGUGGUUUCUCAAUAUAGCAUUUCAAUCUAUAACAGUAAACAGAGUUAGAGAACUUACAGAGUUGGUGCCGAAAACUCGAUGUGCCACACUUCCAAUAACAUCUUUCCAGAAACAAGUUAAGUUUUGUUGAUAAAUUUCAAAAAAAAAAAUUAGAAAAACCAUUUUUCAAACCCCAAUUUCGGAAAAAGAAUAAAACAACAAUAAUUUUCUGCUACCCAUACCCCAACCGAGUUUUGUAACAUGGCUCUGAUACCACUAAAUGUAACACCCCAAACCCGGCCCAGAUGUUACGGUCGAAUUCGGCGUGUCACAUUGAAGUGUUUUUCGAAAACCAUGUUUUCAUUGAAAACCCUUCUUGAUGUAAAACUCAUUGGAGUGUUAUUGUAAAACUCAUGUUUUAAUUAAAAAUCUUUGAAAAGAAUAUUUUCGUUAUAGAUUAAAGUGAAUGGAAGCUAGGCACUAGGUAGGAAUCCGUAACAGAGGAGGUGAGCCAUAAAGGCUGCUCAAGUACCAAGCUCUUCGUUUGGAUCCAAUCCUAGACAUGCCCACAACCAUUGCCACACUAGGUUAUAACGAGUUGAAAUUUCUUUGAGUAUAUAUCUUUGAUAAAUCGAAUAUUUGUGACGUUGUGUUAUUUUGAAAACAAGUAUCGUUUUGAAAACGCGUCCUAAGUCUAACCCAUUUGAAUUACUAUCAGUAAAAUAUAGGGUAUAAAAUAAAAUAAUCCAAGAAAAAUAAUUAAAAUGGCCUUAUUACAACCCAAAACCAAAUAAUAAUAUUAAUAAGAUAAAGCUUAUAAAGAAAUAAAUCGACUACUUAUUGCAAUUAAAAGAAACAGAAAUAGUAGUGUGGCCAUCUCCGAGUCCCUCGCAGCUCCAAACCAUCUGAGCUUAGGGAUUACCUGCACAAUUAGAAACGGGGUGAGUUUACGAAAACUCAGUGUGUAAUCCCAAUAACAAACAAACAGUGAAAACACAGUAUCAGUACAAUCUGGGCCAAAGCCCUAUUCAGUCUCGAAAUAUACUGGGCCGAAGCUUUUCGUUUAAUGGUUACUGGGCCAAAGCCUUUUCAUAAAUCAUAUCACUGGCCGAAGCCUUUACUGUAAGCGGUAUGGCCCAUAGGCCCAUUUUAAUAACACAUGAAAUAUCAAUGAAUGUAUGCAAGCCCAUUUCAAUAUCACAUGAAAUACCAAUGAAUGUAUGCAAGCCCAUUUGGGGAGACUACUCAACCCACCAUCCGCUACUCUCCACCUGUACCAACCAACACACCAUGUGGGGAAUAACUCAACCCACCCAACCAACCUCUCCACUGGCAGCAUAGCUGCUUUAUCAUGUAACUGGAGGCCUAGCCUCCUUUAAUAACUGGGGCAAAGCGCUUUUUGAUAAACUGGGGCAAAGCCCUUUUCGAUAAACUGGGGCAAAACCCUUUUCGAUAAACUGGGGCAUAGCCCUUUUAGCACUUCCUCCAUUUAUAAAACCUAACCCAUGCAACAUGUCAUGUAUGCAGAAUGUCAUGCCCAUAUUUGAAUCAAACAAUCACAGUCAAGUCAUUCAUAUCACCAACAUAUAUUCACAAUCAAAUCCGUCAACCACACAGUCCAACUCAGUCACUUGCCUACAAGGGCAAAAUAGUUAUUUUUCACAUUAUAAGGGUAAUUUUGUAAUUUUACCGAAUAUCAGGGUUUUCCAUGUUCAUUACAAUUGUUUAAACAAUGAUCUUUAACCCACUUAUCAAAUUCGGCUUUUGGGCCCAAAACCCCUAAUGGGCCCUACGAAUGCUGAUUUAGCCCACUAGGCCUGCUUAACCCAAGUUUUACAAUAAUACUAACCGUGUUAACAUGCAACCUUUCCAAGUUUUACAAUUAUCAAUAUUUUUGAGUGUUUAAACAAUGAUCUUUAACCCACUUUAUCAAACUCGGGCUUUUGGGCCCACAACCUCUAAUAGGCCCUACGAAUGCCGAUUUAGCACAAUAGUACUAACCGUGUUAACAUGUAACUUUUCCAAACUCAAAUUUCUAUCAAUUUUGCCCAAAUGGGCUCAAAAGCCCAUUAGGCCCAAUUUCAGCCCCUUGAGGCCCAACUUACCAUCGUGCACAAAAUUGCGCUCUUACCUGCUCCAUCGAUCCAAACACUGAUCAUAUCAUUUUUAUCGCAUCUAAAACCACUUGCAAAAUCUCAAGUUCCCGAAAUGCCGGGAUUUUAGCAUUUCGGCUUUUCAGCGAAUAUUAUUCUAAGCUACUACGAGGGUUAGUACACACCUGUUAUGGGUUGAAGUUGAAACGUUUCCAAAAUCAAUCGCCUACGAUAACCACCACCUGUCACUCAAACUUAACUAAUCCAAUAUCAAUAUAUGUAAAUCCUAAACACAUCAUUCAUACGGAACAUAAGGGCAUAUUCGUCAUUUUACCAUAAGGGUAUUACGGUCACUUUACCCUACAAGGGCUUUAUGGUCACUUUACCCUACAGGGGCUUUACGGUCUUUUUACCUAAUAGGGGUAUUUUAGUCAUUUCAUCCUACAAGGGUGUUUUGGUAAAUCUACAAACCAAGGGUAUUUCAAUAAUUUUGUAAACCAACGGUAUUUCUAUAAUUUUUAAAAAGUCAAGGGUAUUUCUAUAACUUUGUAAAUCGGGGGUAUUUUGGUAAUUUUAUAAAUUAAGGGUAUUUCGGUAAUUUCACAAACCAAUGGUAUUUUGGUAAUUUUACAAACUAGGGGUAUUUUAGUAAUUUUACAAACUAGGGGUAUUUUAGCAAUUUUACAAACUAGGGUAUUUUGGUAAUUUUACUGAUCGAGGGUAUUUUGGUAGUUUUGUAAACCAAUGGUGUUUUAGUAAUUUUGUAAAUCGAGGGUAAAAUAGUAAUUUUGUAAAUCAAGGGUAAAAUAGUAAUUCUAUAAAUCGAGGGUAAAACAGUAAUUCUAUAAAUCGAGGGUAAAACGGUAAUUCUAUAAAUCGAGGGUAUUUUGAUAAUUUUACAAUUUGAGGGCAUUUCAGUAAUUUGGUAAACUAAAGUAUUCUAAACAGGGAUAACAAUACGAAUGGGCCUAAAGCCUAUUCUCGGCCCAAAUGGGCCCACACGCUCGUGUGGCCCUUUUAGCCCAAAUGUAGCCACAGAUAUGUGAUUCACCUAGCUUAGUCUAAUAUUUACUACACAAUCAAACAACUUAUCCAAUUAGGCCCACAUGACCCCUUUCGGCCCAUCGCGGCCCGAAGUAGCCAUCCUAUAGCUAGAGUAGCGAGAAAUACACACCUGAUUGGCGACUGGAGUUAAUCCACGCUCCGAGCACUCUUAGCCGACGCCCAACCCAAACGAGCACGCCAUACAGCGAAAGGGAUCAGCCAAGAAAGGUACCUUUACUCUCCUCAUGGUUCUCUCUAUUUAAAGCCAGCUUCGCAUCUACACUUAUGUUAGCUUCCCGAUGUGGGAUCCCUCCAACAUCAGAGUUUAAAUUCAACACCAACUCUUGCCGCCCCCUGUUAGCAAAAUAAAUGCUACUUGCUUGCCAUGGGAUUCAAACCCAUGCCUCCCCUCAAAUGCUCCACACGCUACUUGCCACUAAACCACAAGGCCUUUUGUGUGAUAUUUUAUCCCCAAUUAAUUAUAAGGUCUAAAGGCCAAAGUCCAGGUUCCCUAAAAAAAACCAAAAUAAAUUGCAAGAGCCAAGACUUGAACCCAGGCUCCCAUACAACCUUAAUGACGCCACAACCACUAGACUACAUGCUUCCUUGUGCCAUUUAUUUACCACAAUAAUUUAAAAGGCCCUCAUCCAUUUACCCCUGGUUUGUAAAAUUACUAAAAUACCCUUGGUUUACAAAAUUACCAAAAUACCCCUAGUUUGUAAAAUUACUAGAAUACCCUUGGUCUAUAAAAUCACCAAAAUACCUCUGGUUUGUAAAAUUACCAAACCCUUGGUUUACAAAAUUACCAAAAUACCCCUAGUUUGUAAAAUUACUAAAAUACCUUUUGUUUAUAAAAUUAUCAAAAUACCACUGAUUUGUAAAAUUACCAAAAUACCCCUAGUUUGUAAAAUUAUCAAAAUACCCCUAGUUUUUAAAAUUACCAAAAUACCCCUGAUUUGUGAAAUUACUGAAAUACCCUCGACCUGUAAAAUUAUUGAAAUACCCUCGACUUGUAAAAUUACGAAAGUACCCCUGUUUACAGAAUUACCGUUUUUCCCUCGAUUUAUAAAUUAUCGAAAUACCCUUGUAGGGUAGAAAUACCGAAACACCCUUGUAGGGUAGAAAUACCGAAAUACCCCGUAGGGUAAAAUUACUAAAAUACCCUUGUAGGGUAGAAUUACCGAAAUACCCUUAUAGGGUAGAAAUAUCAAAAUACCCCUGUAGGGUAGAAUUACUAAAAAUACCCCUGUAGGGUAGAAUUGCCGAGAUACCCUUGUGGGGUAAAAUUACCAUUUUACCCCUAGGGUGUUAAAUGACUGUUUUGCCCUUGUGGGCAAGUGACUGACUUGGACUGUGUGGUUGACGGAUUUGAUUGUGAAUAUAUGUUGGUGAUAUGAAUGACUUGACUGUGAUUGUUUGAUUCAAAUAUGGACAUGAUAUUUUGAUUAUGUAUGUUGUAUGCGAUGACAUGUAUAUCUGUUGCAUGGGAUAUGGGUUAUAUUGAUGGAGGAAGCGUUCUGGCAGCCUCGCUGCAAUCUGGUGGCUUCGCCACAUAUAUAUACAUCUGUUCUGGUGGCCUAGCCACAAUAUCUGUAUCUGGUGACUUCGUCACAAUAUCUGGCAGCCUCGCUGCAAAUUCUGUGGUGUGUAGCGGAUGGGUGGGUCGAGUUGUCUCCCCACAUGGUGUAAGGUUGGUACGUGGGUGUAUACGGAUGGAUUGGGUUGGGUUUGCAUUCAUAUUCUGAUUCUGAUUCUGUUACUUGAUACUGAUUCUGAUUCUGUUACCUAAUUCUGAUUCUGAUUUUGAUUUUGAUUCUGAUUCUCAUUUUGAUUCUAGUUCUGAUAAUGUUUCUUAUUCUGUAAUGGGCCAAGGCCCAUCUGGUACUAUCUGUUAUAAUGGGCUAAGGCCUAAUUGAUACUGAAACUUUAAGUAGAGCUGGGGCCAGACUUUUAAUUCUUUUAUAUGACUGACUGUUCCUUUUAUGUAGUAGGGGAUUUCACACUGAGUUUUCGUAAAUUCACCCCGUUUAUUAACCUUUCAGGUAAUUUCCAGCCUUAGACGGAUCAGAGCUACGAGGGGCUCGGAGGAAGCCACACAUACUGUUUGUUACAGUUUUGAUUAUUACUUUUAAAUGUUUUUAUGUGGGUUGUAGUAAAGUCAUUGUAAUUUUUUGGAUUUCAAAUUUGGAAUUUUAUUUAUUGUUUUUAUAAUUGCUAGUAUUAGAACACGGUUUUUCAAAGCAACUGCUGUUGUUCAAAACAUCACGUAACCGUAAUUGUUUUUAAAUUAAGCUUCCGCAACUGCCAGGAUUUUUUACAAAGUUGUUAAGAAUGUUAUUCAGCUGAGGUUUUCUAACAAGGUUUAAAAAGGGCACAAGUUUUUAAUUAUUAAGAAGGGUUUUUAAUGGAAACAUGGUUUUCGAAAAACACUUCAAUGUGAUACGCCAGAUUCGAGCCAAACUUCCAUACUGGGUUUGGGGUGUUACAUUUAGUGGUAUCAGAGCCUGGGUUGCAACAACUCGACUGUGGAUUGGGUUUUCAAGGGUUGAAUUUCAGAAAAUUAUUUUCAACCACGUGCUCUGUUUGAAGUAUUUCUCUUAAAAAGUGUGGCACACCGAGUCUCCGGCACCGAAUCCGUAAGUCUUCUGAAUACUUUUGUCUGUUUAGAAAUUUAAAUACUGUGGAUUUUUUAGAUAUUUUUCUGAAUUUAAAUUUGGUUUUUAUUUUAUGUGGAUGUGAUGUUUGGAUAUAGAAAUUGUAUAUAUGUGUGAUAAAUAUGUGUCUGCUUCAGUGAAUAAGUGUUGUAUGCAUGAGAUAUUUCAAUCUCUAGUUGAAGUGUGAUAGUGAUAGUAGGAUCAGAGUGCGCAGCGGUAGCGUAGUGGGGUAGAUGUUACACGACCACCUUGUUAGAUGGAAAUUUCGAGGACGAAAUUUCUUUAAGGGAGGUAGAGUUGUAACACCUUGAAUUUGGGCCUAGAAGUUUUGGGCCUUGAGCAUGGGAGGGGUUGAAGGCAGCUUAUAAUAUUCUAUUGUGCGUGAAAAUUUCGUAGUUGAAGGCUUGUUUUAGUGGUUAAGUGUGCUGAGAAGUGUUGGAGAAGUCCUGGGUUCAAACCUGGACUUUACCAAAAAUUUUGGUUUAAGGUGAAUCAAACCCUGGGUGUAGUAGGUAGGCCUUAAGAAUAUUGUUGGAGAAAUUGUGACACAAAAAGCCUUGUGGCUUAAUGGCAAGUAGCGUGUGGAGCAUCUGAGGGGAGGCAUGGGUUCGAAUACCAUGGCAAGCAAGGAGCAUUUAUUUUGCUAACAGGGGGCGGCAAGAGUUGGUGUUGAAUUUAAACUCUAAUGUUGGAGGGAUCCCAUAUCGGGAAGCUAACAUAAGAGUGGUUGCAAAGCUGGCUUUAAAUAGAGCGAACCAUGAGGAGAGUAAAGGUACCUUUCUUGGCUAAUGCCUUUCGCUGUAUGGCGUGCUCGUUUGGGUUGGCCGUCAGCUAAGAGUGCUCGAAGUGUGGAUUAACUUCAGUCUCUAAUCAGGUAUGUAUUUCUCACUACUCUAGCUAUAGGAUGGCUACUUCAGGCCGCGAUGGGCCGAAAGGGGCCAUGUAGGCCUAAUGGGCCUACGGGCUCAAUUGGAUAAGUUGUUUGAUUGUGUAGUAAAUAUUGGACUAGGCUAGGUGAAUCUCAUAUCUGUGGCUAGAUUUCGGCUAAAAGGGCCACACGAGCGUGUGGACCCAUUUGGGCCGAGAAAGAGCUUUAGGCCCAUUCGUAUUAUUAUCCCUGUUUAGAAUACUUUAGUUUACCAAAUUACCGUUUUACCCUCGAUUGUGAAAUUACUGAAAUACCCCUGUAGGAUAGAAUUACCAAAAUACUACUGGUUUGUGAAAUUACCAAAAUAGCCUCAAUUUGUAAAAUUACCAUAAUACCCUUGAUUUACAAAAUUACAGAAAUACCCUUAACUUUCUAAAAAUUAUAGAAAUACCAUUGGUGUACAAAAUUACUGAAAUACCCUUGGUUUGUAGAUUUACCAAAACACCCUUGUAGGAUGAAAUGACUAAAAUACCCCUAAUAGGUAAAAAGAUCGUAAAGCCCCUGUAGGGUAAAGUGACCGUAAUACCUUUGUAUUGUAAAAUGACGAAUAUGCCCUUAUGUUCCGUAUGACUGAUGUGCUUAGGAUUUACAUAUAUUGAUAUUGGAUUAGUUAAGUUUGAAUGACAGGUGGUGGUUAUCAUAGAUGAUUGAUUAUGGAAACGUUUCAACUUCAACCCAUAACAGGUGUGUACUAACCUCCGUAGUAGCUUAGAUUAAUAUCUGCUGAGAAGCCGAAAUGCUAAAAUACUGGCAUUUCGGGAACUUGUAAUGUUGCGUAUUGGUAUAGAUGCGAUAAAUACGAUAAGAUCGGUGUUUUGAUCGAUGGAACGGGUAAGAACUCAAUUUUCUGCACGAUGGUAAGUUGGGCCUCAAUGGGCAGGAAUUGGGCCAAAUGGGCUUUUGGGCCCAUUUGGGUAAAAUUGAUAGAAAAUGGAAUUUGGAAAAGUUGCAUGUUAACACGGUUAGUAUUGUUGUAAAACUUGGGUUAAGCAGGCUUAGUGGGCUAAAUCAGCAUUCGUAGGGCCCAUUAGGGGUUUUGGGCCUAAAAGCCCGAAUUUGAUAAAGUGGGUUAAAGAUCAUUGUUUAAGCACUCGAAAAUAUUGAUAAUUGUUAAUGAACAUGGAAAACCCUGAUAUUUGGUAAAAUUACAAAAUUACCCUUAUAAUGUGAAAAAUAACUGUUUUGCCCUUGUGGGCAAGUGACUGACUUGGACUGUGUGGUUGACAGAUUUGAUUGUGAAUAUAUGUUGGUGAUAUGAAUAACUUGACUGUGAUUGUUUGAUUCAAAUAUGGGCAUGACAUUCUGCAUACAUGACAUGUUGCAUGGGUUGGGUUUUAUAUGGAUGGAGGAAGUGCAAAAGGGCUUAUGCCCUAGUUUAUUGAAAAGGGCUUAUGCCCCAGUUUAUUGGAAAGGGCUUAUGCUCCAGUUUACCGAAAAGGGCUUAUGCCCCAGUUUAUUGAAAAGGGCUUACGCCUCAGUUUACCGAAAGGGAUUUUGCCCCAGUUAUUAAAAGAGGCUAGGCCUCCAGUUAUAUGAUAAAGCAGCUAUGCUGCCAGUGGAGAGUUAUGGUUGGAUGGGUUGCGUUAUUCCCCACAUGGUGUGUAGGUUGGUACGGGUGGCGAGUAGCGGAUGGUGGGUUGAGUAGUCUCCCCAAAUAGGCUUGCAUACAUUCAUUGAUAUUACAUGUGAUAUUGAAAUUGUCCUAUGGGUCAUACCGCUUACAGUGAAGGCUUCGGCCCAAUGAUAUGAUUUAUGAAAAGGCUUCGGCCCAGUAUAUGUCGAAACUGAAUUAGGGCUUAGGCCCAUAUUACCACUGUUUAAGGGCUAAGGCCCAGACUGUACUGUUACUCAAUAGGGCUUUGGCCCAGAUUGUACUGACACUGUAUUAUUCACUGUUUGUUUUUUUGUUGGGGAUUACACUCUGAGUUUUCGUAAACUUUCCCCGUUUCUAACUGUGCAGGUAAUCCCUAAGCUUAGAUGGUUUGGAGCUGCGAGGGACUCGGAGAUGGGCACACUACUGUUUCUGUUUCUUUUAAUUGCAAUAAGUAGCCGAUUUAUUUCUUUAUAAGUUUUAUCCUAUUAAUAUUAUUAUUUGGUUUUGGGUUGUAAUAAGGCCAUUUUAAUUAUUUUUUUGGGAUUAUUUUAUUUUAUACCCUAUAUUUUUUUGAUAACAAUAUGAGUUAGACCUAGGGCGCGUUUUCAAACUGAUAAUUGUUUUCAAAAUAACGCAACGAUACAAUUAAUCAGUUUAUCAAAAAUAUCUACUUAAAUAAAUUACAACUCGAUUUAACUAAGUGUGGCAAUGGUUGUGGGCAUGUCUAGGAUUGGAUCCAUUCGAAGAGCUUGGUACUUAAGUAGCCUCCAUGGCUCACCUCCUCUGUUACGGAUUCCUACCUGGUGCCCAGCUCCCAUUCACUUUGUUAGCUUAUCCAAAAGUCGGUUUUUAAAGCACUAAAACGAAACAUGGAUUUUUAACUUCAAUGUGGCACGUCAGAUUCGGCCAUAACGUCUAGGCCAGGUUUGGGGUCUUAGACAGUGAAGGUGGAUAGAGUUGUUAAAGGACUAUGACUGUUCAAUCGAGUACCAUCCAGGAAAAGCAAAUGUCGUGGCUGAUGCGUUAAGUCGAAUGACUCUUGCGGAGUUGAAGGCAAUGUUUGCUCAUCUAUGUUUGUAUGAUGAUGGAAGCUUAUUGGCAAAAUUACAAGUGAGACCGACUUGGGUAGAGCAGAUUAAGAAGCAACAGUUGGAGGAUGAAUCAUUGGUUUCUCGGAUUCAGCAAGUUGAGAUGGGGGAGAAUCUAGACUUUGGGUUAAAUAGCGAGGGAGUUCUUUGUUUUCGAGGAAGAAUUUGUAUGCCGAAGGACUCUGACUUGAUGUUGAUGAUUUUGAAAGAGGCACAUAAUAGACCUUGUGCUAUGCAUCCAGGACGGAGUAAGUUGUAUCGAGACUUGCGAGAGGUAUAUUGGUGGCCUGGGCUUAAGCGAGAAGUGACCGAAUUUGUGGGGAGAUGUUUGACAUGUCAACAAAUAAAGGCGGAACAUCAACUGCCUUCAGGAUUGUUUCAGCCGGUAAAGAUACCACUUUGGAAGUGGGAAAGGGUAACUAUGGAUUUUGUAAGUGGGUUGCCGUUGAUACCUUCUAAGAAGGAUUCAGUUUGGGUAAUUGUGGAUAGGCUCACAAAAUCUACCCAUUUCAUACCCGUCUGAACUGAUUAUUCACUUCAGAAGCUGGCUAAGUUGUAUGUGGCAGAGAUAGUGCGGUUGCAUGGAGUGCCAAUAUCGAUAAUUUCUGACCGAGACCCAAGGUUUACAUCUCAGUUUUGGCAGAAGUUGCUUGAGGCGUUGGGAACGCGAUUGGACUUUAGUACGGCUUUUCACCCUCAGUCAGAUGGGCAGACAGAGAGGUUGUGUUAUUGAGUUUAGGGGCAGCUGGGAGGACCAUUUUCCAUUUGCGGAGUUCGCGUAUAACAACAGUUAGCAAGCAAGUAUUCAGAUGGCUCCUUACGAGGCACUAUAUGGGCGAAGGUGUCGAUCGCCUACUUAUUGGGCAGAGUUGGGAGAAAGGCAAGUCCUUGGGCCAGAAUUGGUUACAGAUACUGAAGACAAGAUUAAGGUGAUCAGGAAUCGGUUAAAGGAGGCAGAGGAUCGACAAAAGUCUUAUACCGAUCUGAAACGUAAGGAUAUUGAAUAUGCGGUUGGGGACAUGGUCUUUUUGAAAGUUUUUCCUUGGAAGAAGAUAUUGAGAUUUGGUAAGAAGGGUAAGUUGAGUCCACGGUUUAUUGGGCCUUAUCGAAUCAUUAAGCGGAGAGGGCCGGUGGCUUAUCAGCUAGAGUUACCUCCAAAGCUGGAUCGUAUUCACGACGUUUUUCAUGUGUCCAUUCUAAGGGGAUAUCGUUCGGACCCAACUCAUAUCAUGCCAAUUGCAGAAAUCGAAGUACAGCCGGAUUUGACUUUCGAAGAGGAACCUGUGCAAAUACUUGAUCGCAACGUCAAGGUGUUGCGAAGGAAGUCAGUCCCAUUAGUGAAGGUACUUUGGAGGAACCAUGGCAAGGAAGAAGCUACUUGGGAGACCGAAGAGGCAAUGCACCAGCAAUUCCCUCAACUGUUUGGAUCAGGUAAAUUUCGAGGCCGAAAUUUCUUUAAGGAGAGUAGAGUUGUAACAUCCUGAUUUUUGGGUUUUUGCGCGAUUCUCGAUAUUUUAGUAAAUUUUUUAAAAAUUUGGUAUGUGGUUGUGAAAUUCAUAAUUUAAGUAUGUAAAUAGGCUUAUGGAAGGCCCAUGUGUUGGCCAAAACCCGGUAGAAUUUUUGAAUUUAGGACUUAAGAGUUAGGAGUACGAGCUAGAUGACCUUAUGUAAAGUUGUGGGUAAAAUGUAUCACAAAAAGAGCUUUGGUAAAGUGGCAAGGGUGACGCCACUAAGCUCCUAAAAAGGUGGUGUGUGGAGCAUAGAGGAAGACUUGGGUUCGAUUCCCUGUGUUGGAAAAUAAGGUUAUUUAUUUUUAUGUGCAGGAAGGGUAGGCGUUGGAACCCAAGUGGAUUCUGUUGGAGGAGUUUGAAUUAAUCAAGUGCAUGGAUUAAGGAGUGAUAAGGGGAGAGAUUUUAGGGAUGAUGGAGAGAUAAGGGAGAACGUAUCUAUGAGAGAUUUUAGGAGAUUUGAAAUGGGAAAAGUGGUGGCCGGUCAAGGGGAAGGUUUAGAGCAAAUUCGACUAUUGGGGUUUUCGGGUGGCAUUUUUUUUCCUUUCUUUUUACUUGUGCCGAUUGUUCUUAAGCAAAUCCCUCUCAUUUCUUUUCCAUUAUUUCUUCCACAAACUCUUUUCCUCUCAUUCUUCCUCUCUUUCAUUCAUAGUAAAAGCCAAACCCAUCAUUCUUUUCAUUACUAACCGAAUAAUAACAAGCCAAAUCCCGAAGGAGUCAAGGGAAGUUGAUUUAUCUAUAAAGGUAUACACUUGUUAUUUUUCUUUUUAGCCGAUUCUUGUUUUAUCAAAAGCCUUUCAACUCUUUUUUCAACACCCUUUUCGGUCCAUAACCACUUUUUCUUCAGUGACCCAAAAGCCGAAAGCACAGCACCCUUGGGUGACUUGGUGGCCGAUUCUUAGAAUCCUUGUGGUGCGAUUUCUGCUAGUGUUUUGGAGCUAGGACUACGUUGAAUCAGAGUUAGCACGGGAUUGGAAUCGUUUGGGUAGGUGAAUCUUGGUAAGUGCUCGUGGCCUUAAUCAAUUCGGUAUUAUGGAGGUUAAGAAAAGCCGAAACCCCUAUAGUUUAGAGAGGUGGCCGAAUGUGGGUAUAGGCCUUAUUGGCUUCUUCUUUUAAUCUUUUUAUGGUUUGUAUAGUGGAGGAUCUGCAAGGCGUAAUGUCGAAUUGGAUUAGCUGGGAUCAUCGGAGUGACUAGAUCUAGUCAUCAAUUUCGGCAAAGGUAUGGAUUCUAAGGCCAUUAUGGAGAGUGGCCGAAUGUGUAAGUAUUGUUAAUAGAUGGUUCUCGAUUUGGUUCUAUUAUUGUGAGCUGAUCUAUUAACGGUUGAUUAUAGGAGAAAUCGUGUAGGAGAUCUCGUCAAGGAAUAUCACAAAACAGGUGUGUAACGAACCCUUUUUCAUAGCUUGAAACGAUAAAUGUCGAAAAGCCGAAAUGCCGAAAUUCUAGCAUUUUGAGGACUUGUGAGCAAGCGAACGCUCAUUGGUUAGCUAGAUUUGCUAGGUUGAUGAUCGGGAACGUUGGAAAAGGUAAGGGCAUGAUUUUUGGCAUUACGGUAAGUUGGGCCUCGAGGGGCUGAAGUUGGGCCCAAUGGGCUUUCGGGCCCAUUUGGGUAAAAUUGGUUGAAAAUGAAAACCUGUUAAAUUGCGCAUUAAGACUGGUAACACCAUUAUGGAAAAUAGGCUAAAUGGGCCUAGAUGACUAAAUCAACUAUGUAGGGCCCAUUAGGGGUUUCUGGCCCAAUAACUCGGUAUCGCGAAAAAUGGGCCAGAAUCGCUGUUUAAACAUAUGAAUGGUCAGUAACUAAUAAUGAACACAGAAAACCCUAAUAUUUGGUAAAAUUAUGAAAUUACUCUUAUAUUAUGAAAAUGACUAUUUUGCCCCUAGGUAAAAAUGACCAUUAUACCCCUAGGUUUUACUUAUAAUUUGAUACAUGGGAUUUUGAUAUACAUGAUUGAUAUGAUAUGCUCAUGAUAUGUAUGAUAUGCACUUGAUAUGUAUGAUAUGCACAUGAUGUAUUCAUAAUUGCAUUGGGUUGGGUUUUUAUAUGGAUGGAGGAAGUGCAAAAGGGCUUAUGCCCCAGUUUAUUGAAAAAGGGCUUAUGCCCCAGUUUAUUGAAAAGGGCUUUGCCCUAGUUUACCGAAAAGGGCUUUGCCCCAGUUAUUAAAGAGGCUAGGCCUCCAGAUAUAUGAUAAAGCAGCUAUGCUGCCAGUGGUGUGUUGGUUGGGUGGGUUGAGUUAUUCCCCACAUGGUGUGUUGGUUGGUACGAGUGGAGAGUAGCGGAUGGUGGGUUGAGUAGUCUCCCCAAAUGGGCUUGUAUACAUUCAUUGAUAUUACAUGUGAUAUUGAAAUGGGCCUAUGGGCCAUACCGUUUACAGUAAAGGCUUCGGCCUAGUAAUAUGAAAUAUGAAAAGGCUUCGACCCAGUAUAUGCUUAGAUUGAAGUUGGGCUUAUGCCCAGCAGGCUGAUAUUGCUUUGGGCUCUGAAAGAGGCUUGUUACACAUUGAGUUUCCAAACUCACCCCCUUUCCUUAACCUUGCAGGUGAGCCUUGAUUUGGGGACUUAGAGCCAGAGGGGAUUCAAAGUGGCCACGGUGAUUGCUUUUAGGCUUUUGAAUAAGUGUUUGGUUUUCAUUAAAGUUUGCUUUAUUUAUUAAUUAUUUUUAGGUUGUAAUAAGGCCAUUUUAACAUUAUUUUCUUUCUUUUGUGGGAUUAUUUUAUUUUUUAAUAACUUUAAACUGGUUGAUAAUAAAUGGGUGAGACUUAGGACGCAUUUUCAAAAUGACAUUUUUUUUCCAAACAACACAACGUUAUAAUUAUCCGAUUUCUCAAAGAUAUCCACUUAAAUAAAUUUCAAAUCGAUAUAACCAAGUGUGGCAAUGGUUGUGGGCAUGUCUAAGAUUGGAUCCAUUCGAAGAGCUUGGUACUUAAGCAGCCUUCAUGGCUCACCUCCUCUGUUACGGAUUCCUACCUGGUGCCUAGCUUCCAUUCACUUUGUUAGCUUAACAAAAGUUGAUUUUUAACGCACUAAAACGAAACAUGGGUUUUUAACUUCAAUGUGGCACGUCAGAUUCGACCAUAAUGUCUGGGCCGGGUUUGGGGUGUUACAUUUAGUGGCAUUAGAGCCUAGGUUGCAGUAACUCGGCUGUGGAUCGGGUCUGAAAAACUUUUCGAAAAAAAAAUUUACCAAGAAGGGUAUUUUUGGAAAUAGUUUUGAAAAGAUCUUCUCAAAAAUGUUUUAUAAAGGUAUACAUGAUAAAAUGGUUUAAGUUUUUCUGGGUUUUUUUUAACGGGUCUAAAAUCAAGAAUUUCAAAACAAAGGUGUUUUUUUUAUCUAUUUUUGUGAUUAAAUACAUGGUUUGUGGUUUUUGGAUUGGAGAAUAAAGUGGCACUGAAUCCUCGACACCAAGUCUGUAAGUAUACUCUCUUUACGUUAUGUGAUAUUGAUAAAAUGCUAUAAAUAGAACUGAGACCCUACUAUGAUACUUUAGAUAGGGUAGAACUGAAAAACAGUAGGAAUGAAAACUGUAGCUAGGCUACGACGAUGCGAAAACCAUUCUUGAACUACUAUAUUUCCAUAAGACAUUUCGUAAUAAACAAUUGAACAUUAUACUAAUAUCAUAAAAUUCGUAAUAAGAUAAGUCAAUAUGAGUACAAGAGGAACUCGUGGAAGAGGCCGCGGACGUGCUCGCGGAAGGGUACAAGCUGAAUCUUUAUCCUUAGGGCAUAGACCAGCUGAGGAGGCAUCCGUGCCACAAGCAACUGAGACUGGGUCUUAUGAUCGGGCUGCGGGGGAUGAUGCUUUGUCCCAAGCCAUGUUAAGGGUUUUAGAAAGAGUUGCUGGAGCUAGCACUGGGACAGUGAAUAGGGGAUCCAUCUCCGAGCGACUUUGGGCUAACAGAGCAGAAGUUUUUAGGGGCGUAUCUGGAGUAGCCCCAAAUGUGGCUAAAUAUUGGCUAGAAGCAACAGAGCGAAUCAUGGACAAUUUAGAUUGCUCUGUGGAGCAAUAGCUGAAGGGGGCUGUGUCGCUGCUACGAGACGAGGCAUAUCGAUGGUGGAUCACUGUGAGAGAGAGUACCCCGAUUGAACAAGUAACCUGGGAAUUGUUCAAAACUGCUUUUAAGGGGAGGUAUGUUGGAGCUAGUUAUGUGGAUGCCCGUCGGAAGGAAUUUUUGAAUCUGACUCAGGGUAAUAAGCCUGUCGCGGAGUAUGAGGUAGAAUUUUUUAGGCUGAGUCGAUAUGCCAGUGGGAUAGUUGCAAUUGAGUAUGAGCGCCCUGUUCGUUUUGAGGAUGGCCUCCGCGAUGAGCUUAGGAUAUUGAUAGCACCACAGAGGGAGCAUGAUUUUGCUGCAUUGGUAGAGAAGGCUAAGAUAGCCGAGGAGGUAAAACGGACUGAGCGGCAGAAUCAUGAGAAGGAUCGACCCAGAUUUAAGAGGGAUUUUAGACCCUCGAGUGCUAUGAAUAGGAAUGUUAAAAGAGCAAUGAUGGAGGAACCGGUUCGAGCAGUUCCAGUAAAUACUUUUAGACCGCAGACUUGCAGGGACUGUGAUAAGGUGAAUAUGGGGGAGUGCUGGAAAUGAACUGGAGCAUGUUUUCGAUGUAGGUCCAAGGAGCAUAAGUUCAGAGAAUGUCCUCGGAGAACAGCUCAGGAACUAGCUGCGGAACAAAGGGAUGCCCAACCACAGCGAGGAGGACCACCACCACAGAGAGGUUGUGGGCAAGGUAGAGGUGGCAAUGGUAAUGGACGAUGACGUGGGGCACCUGGCAGGGGUGCUAGACAUGCUGAAGCUUGACAGUUGGCAUUGUUUUAUGCUGCACGAUGUCGUGAGGAGAGUGAUGCUCCUGAUGUUAUAACCGGUACGUUCUUCAUUCAUAGUACGCCUUGCACUGCUUUGAUUGAUGUGGGUUCCACUCACUCGUAUGUUGUAUCUGGGGAAUUGGGCAUGCUUCUUGAGGAGACUGUGAGUGGGGUAACGGUGAUAAGCCCUUUAGGACACUCGGUUAAGGUAGAUAAACUCUUUAGGGCGGUGCCUUUAGAGACACAAGGUAAGAUUUUUAAAGGAGAUUUGACGGAGCUGCCAUUUAGGGAUUUUGAUCUUAUCUUGGGAAUGGAUUGGCUAACUAAGCAUAAGGCGACGUUGGAUUGUGCUGCAAAGAGAAUGGUACUAAGAACUGCCAAAGAUGAGGAGAUAAUGGUCAUAGGGGAAUGAAGGAAUUAUUUGUCCAAUGUUCUUUCGGCUUUAAAGGCCGAGAAGUUGAUGCGAAAAGGUUGUGAGUCGUACUUGGCUUUUGUAAGUCAAACUGAACUGGAGGAGAUAACGGUAGAGUCGGUUAGGACCAUUAAGGAAUUUCAAGAUGUAUUCCCAAAGGAACUUCCUGAAUUACCUCCGAACAGAGAAGUCGAGUAUGGAAUCGACUUGUUACCUGGUACAACUCUUGUGUCCAUUGCGCCUUAUAGGAUGGCACCAAAGGAGUUGGUGGAAUUGAAAGCUCAGAUUCAAGAUUUGUUGGAUAGGGGAUUUAUAAGACCAAGUUUUAAAUUGAGUUGGUGGAAUUGAAAGCUCAGAUUCAAGAUGGGACUAUGCGGAUGUGUAUAGACUAUCGGCAGUUGAAUAAACUGACCAUCAAGAACAAGUAUCCGUUACCAAGAAUCGACGAUCUGUUCAAUCAACUAAGAGGAGCCUCGGUAUUUUCUAAGAUCGACCUUCGGUCAGGAUAUCAUCAGUUGAGAGUUAAAGAAAUGGAUAUUUAUAAGACGGCAUUCAGGACUCGAUAUGGUCAUUACGAGUUUUUGGUAAUGCCUUUUGGUUUGACUAAUGCACCGGCAGCAUUCAUGGAUUUAAUGAAUCGGGUGUUCCAGCCAUAUUUGGAUCGGUUCGUAGUCGUUUUUAUUGAUGAUAUCUUGGUGUAUUCGGAAACGAAAGAGAAGCAUGAUGAGCAUCUUCGUGUUGUGCUGCAAGUGUUAAGGGGAAAGUAACUCUAUGCAAAGUUUAGUAAGUGCGAGUUUUGGCUGAGGGAAGUCACUUUCUUGGGGCAUGUUGUGUCUGCUGAAGGGAUCAAGGUGGACCCUCGAAAGAUUGAGGCAAUUCUGGAAUGGAAGCCACCGAAGUUGAUAACAGAGAUCUGAAGUUUUCUGGGGUUGGCAGGUUAUUAUUGGAGAUUUGUGGAAGGAUUUUCUGUGUUGGCAGCACCGUUAACGAAACUUAUAAGGAAGGGAGCACAUUUUGUUUGGACAAAUAAGCAGCAAGAGGCUUUUGAGAAACUGAAGAAGGUUUUGACAAAGGCGCCAGUGUUGAUUCAGCCAGAGUCUGGUAAGGAUUUCACUGUGUUCAGCGAUGCGUCACAAGUAGGUUUGGGCUGCGUGUUGAUGCAAGAGGGUAAAGUGGUCGCUUAUGCUUCACAAUAGCUCAAGCCUCACGAGGUGAACUAUCCUACGCAUGACUUGGAGUUGGCAGCGGUGAUUUUCGCACUUAAGAUAUGGAGGCAUUACUUGUAUGGGGAGAAAUGCAUCAUCUAUACGGAUCACAAGAGUCUUAAGUACUUGCUGAGUCAAAAUGAGCUGAAUCUUAGACAGCGAAGGUGGAUAGAGUUGUUAAAGGACUAUGACUGUUCGAUCGAGUACCAUCCAGGAAAAGCAAAUGUCGUGGCUGAUGCGUUAAGUUGAAGGACUGUGGUGCAGUUGAAGGCAAUGUUUGCACGUCUAAGUUUGUAUGAUGAUGGAAGCUUAUUAGCAGAAUUACAAGUGAGACCAACUUGGGUAGAGCAGAUUAAGAAGAAACAGUUGGAGGAUGAGUCAUUGGUUUUUCAGAUUCAGCAAGUUGAGAAAGGGGAGAAUCCAGACUUUGGGUUAAAUAGCGAGGGAGUUCUUUGUUUUCGAGGAAGAAUUUGUAUGCCGAAUGACUCUGACUUGAUGUUGAUGAUUUUGAAAGAGGCACAUAAUAGACCUUGUGCUAUGCAUCCAGGAUGGAGUAAGUUGUAUCGAGACUUGCGCGAGCUAUAUUGGUGGCCUGGGCUUAAGCGAGAAGUGACCGAAUUUGUGGGGAGAUGUUUGACCUGUCAACAAGUGAAGGCCGAACAUCAACUGCCUUCAGGAUUGUUACAGCCGGUAAAGAUACCACUUUGGAAGUGGGAAAGGGUAACUAUGGAUUUUGUAAGUGGGUUGCCGUUGACACCUUCUAAGAAGGAUUCGGUUUGGGUAAUUGUGGAUAGCUCACAAAAUCUACCCAUUUCAUACUCGUUCAAACUGAUUAUUCACUUCAGAAGCUGGCUAAGUUCUAUGUGGCAGGGAUAGUGCGGUUGCAUGGAGUGCCAGUAUCGAUCAUUUCUGACCGAGACCCAAGGUUUACAUCUAGAUUUUGGCAGAAGUUGCAUGAGGUGUUGGGAACGCGAUUGGACUUUAGAACGGCUUUUCACCCUCAGUCGGAUGGGCAGUCAGAGAGGGUCAUUCAGAUUUUAGAAGACAUGUUGAGAGGUUGUGUUAUUGAGUUUAGGGGGGCAGCUGGGAUGACCAUUUGCCAUUGGUGGAGUUCGCGUAUAACAACAGUUACCAAGCAAGUAUUCAGAUGGCUCCUUACGAGGCACUAUAUGGGCGAAGGUGCCGAUCGCCUACUUGUUGGGUAGAGUUGGGAGAAAGGCAAGUCCUUGGGCCAGAAUUGGUAACAGAUACUGAAGAUAAGAUUAAGGUGAUCAGGAAUCGUUAAAGGAGGCAGCGGAUCGACAAAAGUCUUAUGCCGAUCUGAAACGUAAGGAUAUCGAAUAUGCGGUUGGGGACAUGGUCUUUUUGAAAGUUUUGCCUUGGAAGAAGAUAUUGAGAUUUGGUAAGAAGGGUAAGUUGAGUCCACGGUUUAUUGGGCCUUAUCGAAUUAUUAAGCGGAUAGGGCCGGUGGCUUAUUAGCUAGAGUUACCUCCAGAGCUGGAUCGUAUUCACGACGUUUCUUUAAGGGGGUAGAAUUGUAACACCCUGAAUUUGGGCCUAGAAGUAUUGGGCCUUGAGUGCGGGUUCGUAAGGAGGUUGUAUAUAGGUAUUUAAUUGUGGAAUGAAAUGACACAAUUAAAUGUCUGGUUUGGUGGUUAAUGGCCCUGAGAAGUCUUAGAGAAAUCUUGGGUUCAAACUUGGGCUUUAGCAAAAAUUUUGGUAUUAAGUGAAAAAAAAACCUGGAUGCUUGGAUGAGGGUUUUUAAAUUAUUGUGUUAAAUAAAUGACACAAGGAAGCUUGUAGUCUAGUGGUUGUGGCGUCAUUAAGGUUGUAUUGAAGCCUGGGUUCAAGCCUUGGCUCUUGCAAUUUAUUUUGGUUUUUUUAAGGGAACCUGGACGUUGGCCUUUAGACCUUAUAAUUAAUUGGGGAUAAAAUAUGACACAAAAAGCCUUCUGGCUUAGUGGCAAGUAGCGUGUGGAGAACCUGAGGGGAGGCAUGGGUUUGAAACCAUUUUACCUUCAGUUUACAAAAUUAUCGUUUUACCCUCAAUGUCAAAUUACCGAAAUACCCCUAUAGGAUAGAAUUAUCAAAAUACCCCUAGUUUGUAAAAUUACCAAAAUACCCCUAGUUUAUAAAAUUACCAAAAUACCACUGGUUUGUGAAAUUACCGAAAUAACCUCAAUUUAUAAAAUUACCAAAAUACCCCUGAUUUACAAAAUUACAGAAAUACCCUUGACUUUCUAAAAAUUAUAGAAAUACCAUUGGUUUAAAAAAUUACUGAAAUACCUUUGGUUUGUAGAUUUACCAAAACACCUUUGUAGGAUGAAAUGACUAAAAUACCCCUAAUAGGUAAAAAGACCGUAAAGCCCUUGUAGGGUAAAGUGACCGUAAUACCCUUGUAUGGUAAAAUGACGAAUAUGCCCUUAUGUUCCGUAUGACUGAUGUGCUUAGGAUUUACCUAUAUUGAUAUUGGAUUAGUUAAGUUUGAGUGACAGGUGGUGGUUAUCGUAGGUGAUUGAUUAUGGAAACCUUUCAACUUCAACCCAUAACAGGUGUGUACUAACCCUCGUAGUAGCUUAGAUUAAUAUCUGCUGAGAAGCCGAAAUGCUAAAAUAUCGGUAUUUCAGGAACUUGUAAUGUUGCGUGUGGGUAUAGAUGCAAUAAAUAUGAUAAGAUCGGUGUUUGGAUCGAUGGAACGGGUAAGAACUCAAUUUUCUGCACGAUGGUAAGUUGGGCCUCAAUAGGCUGGAAUUGGGCGAAAUGGGCUUUUGGGCCCAUUUGGGUAAAAUUGAUAGAAAAUGGAAUUUGGAAAAGUUGGAUGUUAACACGGUUAGUAUUGUUGUAAAAUUUGGGUUAAGCAGGCUUAGUGGGCUAAAUCAGCAUUCGUAGGGCCCAUUAAGGGUUUUGGGCCUAAAAGCCCGAAUUUGAUAAGUGGGUUAAAGAUCAUUGUUUAAACACUCGGAAAUAUUGACAAUUGUAAUGAACAUGGAAAACCCUGAUUUUUGGUAAAAUUAUGAAAAUACCCUUAUAAUAUUAAAAAUGACUGUUUUGCCCUUAUGGGCAAGUGACUGACUUGGACUGUGUGGUUGACAGAUUUGAUUGUGAAUAUAUGUUUGUGAUAUGAAUGACUUGACUGUGAUUGUUUGAUUCAAAUAUGGGCAUGAAAUUCAGCAUACAUGACAUAUUGCAUGGGAUAUGGGUUAUAUUGAUGGAAGAAGUGCUAAAAGGGCUCUGCCCCAGUUUACCGAAAAGGGCUUUGCCCCAGUUUAUCAGAAAGGGCUUUACCCCAGUUAUUAAAAGAGGCUAGGCCUCCUGUUAUAUGAUAAAGCAGCUAUGUUGCCAGUGGAGAGUUUGGUUGGGUGAGUUGAGUUAUUCCCCACAUGGUGUGUUUGUUGGUACGGGAGGAGAGUAGCGGAUGGUGGGUUGAGUAGUCUCCCCAAAUGGGCUUGCAUACUUUCAUUGAUAUUACAUGUGAUAUUGAAAUGGGCCUAUGGGCCAUACCGCUUACAGUAAAGGCUUCGGCCAGUGAUAUGAUUUAUGAAAAGGCUUCGGCCCAGUAUAUGUCGAGACAGAAUUAGGGCUUAGGCCCAUAUUGCUACUGUUUAAGGGCUAAGGCCCAGACUUUACUGUUACUGAAUAGGGCUUUGGCCCAGAUUGUACUGACACUAUGUUAUUCACUGUUUGUUUGUUGUUGGGGAUUACACACUGAGUUUUCGUAAACUCACCCCGUUUCUAACUGUACAGGUAAUCCCUAAGCUUAGAUGGUUUGGAGCUGCGAGGGACUCGAAGAUGGCCACACUACUGUUUCUGUUUCUUUUAAUUGCAAUAAGUAGCCGAUUUAUUUCUUUAUAAGUUUUAUCUUAUUAAUAUUAUUAUUUGGUUUUGGGUUGUA
rnacentral:lncRNA from 1 species